rnacentral:rRNA from 1 species
UGGCUCAGAUUGAACGCUGGCGGCAGGCCUAACACAUGCAAGUCGAGCGGAUGAAAGGAGCUUGCUCCUGGAUUCAGCGGCGGACGGGUGAGUAAUGCCUAGGAAUCUGCCUGGUAGUGGGGGACAACGUUUCGAAAGGAACGCUAAUACCGCAUACGUCCUACGGGAGAAAGCAGGGGACCUUCGGGCCUUGCGCUAUCAGAUGAGCCUAGGUCGGAUUAGCUAGUUGGUGAGGUAAUGGCUCACCAAGGCGACGAUCCGUAACUGGUCUGAGAGGAUGAUCAGUCACACUGGAACUGAGACACGGUCCAGACUCCUACGGGAGGCAGCAGUGGGGAAUAUUGGACAAUGGGCGAAAGCCUGAUCCAGCCAUGCCGCGUGUGUGAAGAAGGUCUUCGGAUUGUAAAGCACUUUAAGUUGGGAGGAAGGGCAGUAAAUUAAUACUUUGCUGUUUUGACGUUACCGACAGAAUAAGCACCGGCUAACU